rnacentral:rRNA from 1 species
AGUGAGCGGCAAGAGCUCAGAUUUGAAAUCGUGUUUCGGCACGAGUUGUACCAGUGUAGGCGGGAGUCUCUGUGGAGCGCGGUGUCCAAGUCCCUUGGAACAGGGUGCCUGAGAGGGUGAGAGCCCCGUAGGGUGCUGCGCGAAGCUUUUGAGGCCCUGCUGACGAGUCGAGUUGUUUGGGAAUGCAGCUCCAAGCGGGUGGUAAAUUCCAUCUAAGGCUAAAUAUUGGCGAGAGACCGAUAGCGAACAAGUACUGUGAAGGAAAGAUGAAAAGCACUUUGAAAAGAGAGUGAAACAGCACGUGAAAUUGUUGAAAGGGAAGGGUAUUGGGCUCGACAUGGGGGGUGCGCACCGCUGUCUCUUGUAGGCGGCGCUCUGGGCGCCCUCUGGGCCAGCAUCGGUUCCUGCUGCGGGAGAAGGGGCUCCGGAAAGUGGCUCUUCGGAGUGUUAUAGCCGGGGCCAGAUGCCGCGUGUGGGGACCGAGGACUGCGGCUUCUGUCUCGGAUGCUGGCAUAACGGCGCAAUACCGCCCGUCUUGAAACACGGACCAA